rnacentral:rRNA from 1 species
UACGUAGGGAGCGAGCGUUGUCCGGAAUUACUGGGUGUAAAGGGAGCGUAGGCGGGAUUGCAAGUUGGAUGUGAAAACUGCGGGCUCAACCCGGAGAGUGCAUUCAAAACUGCGAUUCUUGAGUGAAGUAGAGGCAAGCGGAAUUCCUAGUGUAGCGGUGAAAUGCGUAGAUAUUAGGAGGAACACCAGUGGCGAAGGCGGCUUGCUGGGCUUUUACUGACGCUGAGGCUCGAAAGUGUGGGGAGCAAACAGG